GGGAUAUACAAUAACUUCUGGGGAUACUUCUGCAGCAAGUGAAGCCUGUGCAGUUUACCUGACAGUGAGGUGGAAGUAAAUCCUAUAGGAAACAAUAGACAGUGUCUGGAAACUUGUAUGAUUGUCACCCUCCAUGAGCUUAAAGCAUGGAGUUUUGGAAUUUACUGUGGAAGCAACCCUUCUACUUAGAAGCUGGAGAUGACUGACGUCUUGACCAACAACAAAGGGAAGAUCUUUUCCGUGAAAGAUGAUGCACCAAGGAUGUUUUGCCCCUUUUUGGUCUAGAAGCUCUUCCAGAAUGUGAAAUAGUACAGAGAUUUCGGCUAACACAGCAAUCGAUUAUGAUGAUUUUUAAUGAAAUACAGGACUAUUUAGAAUCUGUGGCCUUCUGAACAAGAGCCAUUCCUAAAUAGUAAAAAAUGCUGGCUGUGUUGAAUUUUAUGACCACAGGAUCUUUCCAGUCAAUGUCCAGUGCUGUGGUCGGUAUGAAUCCACCAACCUUCUCCAGACACCUAAAAACAGUUUUAGAGGCCAUGUACAGUAUUUUCAAGCCUCAUCUUUAUCUUCCAGAGACACUGGAUCAAAUGGAAAGCAGUUAAAUUACCUUUUUUUUGGAUUGCUGGGAUUUCAAAUGUUUAAGGGGCCAUAGACUGUACACAUAUUACAUUGAGAUCUCCCAGAUAGAGAGAGAGGAAAUGUUCUGCAACAGAAAACGUACAAAUUGUUUAUGAUACUCAACGCAUUAUAAGUGUACCUGCUGGUUUUCCUGUAUCCUGCCACAACUUCUAUAUUCUGCAGCAAUCUUGUCUGUUCACAAAGUUUGAGAAUAAUGAGAUGCCAGAGGGAUGGCUAUUGGGGGAUGAUGGAUAUCCGUGUAGAAAUUGGUUAUUGACUCCCAUUAAUAACCCAAGAACAUCAGCCGAAAUUAAGUAUAAUGAAGUGCACUUAAGCACUAAAGUUGUAUAGAGCACACAUUUGGCAUACUAUAGAGAAAAUGUAGGUGUCUUGAUCACUGGGUUGGGAUCCUACCGUUUUCACUGGAAAAAGUGACACAGAUCAUCAUGGGGUACUGCAUACUGCAUAAUAUUGCGAUGCGUCAAACAGGUGGGGAAGAAUUAGAAGUGCCUUUAAGCACAGAAGAUGAAAAUGACAUAUAAAUAUUAGAAGAAGCAGCAGAGACGAGUGCAGUGUUCAGUGAGAAGUCAACUAAUAGCGAUACUAUUCCAAAACAUUUUUUUUUUUUUGUUUAAAAAAAAAAAAAUGCUUUCCACAACGCAGAUACAUUGAUAAAGUUGGACUGUUUUUCAGGGCACUUGAAGGUUCCUGGAUAUUUCCACUAAGGUUCACUUCUAUUUGGUGAGGGUUUAAUAUAUGGGGGGCCUAUGUAUACACUUUUAUAACUUUCCAGUUUACUUCUAUUUUUAAAGUUGCUCCAUUCUCCUGGUGGCAUUUGUCAAAAAAGCAAAAAUGCACUACUGGGAGCUAGCUGAACACAUUCGGCGAGCCAGUGACAAAAGGCAUGUAUGUUCAGCCACCAGUCAGCAGCUAACUCCCAGAAGUACAUUGCUGCUCAUGAACAAGCCUAGGUAUGAUUUUCAACAUAGGAUACCAAGAGAAGGAAGCACAUUAGAAAAUGGAAGUAAAUUAGAACAUUGUUUAGAAUUGCCUGCUCUAUCUGAAUGAUGAAACUUUAAAUUUUGACUUUACUGUCCCUGGCAGGUCAGGCUUGAUUCAUGAAGUUCUAUGACAUUGAGCAGAAAGGGAGUUAACCUUGGAAGAAAACACAUUACCAUAGAAGAAUGAAUGGAUUAAUGGAAGGCUAAUGUAUCUAAUAGAGGCAGGUUUAAGGAUUAAAUCUAUAAUGGGUUCAAUUAAAUGUGUAGACUGGCUGGAAAUGCCUGAUUUAGCCAACAGUUUGAAAAAGCAAAGCCUUUUGUGAAAGCUGCUUCAGAUUAACUUUUAAUUUAGGAUCCAUAAAGAAAGUAAAAUUAAUUAGUUAAAUAAGUAGGUACAACAUGUUUAUCUAUUUAUAUGUCUAAGCAGGGUUCCGGAACAUGAAUGAUAUAUUAAAGCCUACUAUAUUGAAAAAAAAUGAUUGCAUUUGGCAGCGAAACAGUGGCAUGAAAUAUACAAAAAUGGGCCUAGAUCAAAACCUUGGGUUGUCUACUAAAAAUGUUUUUUUAUAGGUAAAGGAGGGGGGGGGGGUCAAGCCUCUGAGUGAUAGCAAUAAUGCUAAAAAUUCUUCAGUAUUUUGGGCAAAUUUUUCUCUGAAAUUCCCAGUAGCAACGGGGGUUAAAUCAUGCUCAUGUGGUUUGUGACAAUCAUGACAGUGCGAGUGUA